rnacentral:lncRNA from 1 species
CGAGGAGGCGGUUAAAGGCGGCAGGGAGGCUGACAUCUUUUAUCUCGGGGUCUAUGGGUAACCGCUCCGCAGUGCUCCCUCGGGAGAUCUUACCGAGCCCGCCGGGGGCCGUCCGCCCAGGCACUGGGGCACUUCACACUCGUGACUCAAGGUCACCACGGCAGUCGGUCCCUGACUCCCAGCCCGGCAGGAGUUCAGAGGCCAGAGGCCUGAGGAGCCUGAGGAGCAGCUUUGGUGCGGGGACGUGGAAGGACACUGAUGCCAGCACAGCAGGAGGACAAGUCAGCAUCCCCAUGCCCACAGUCGUGUUCUUAUUGCCCUGACUCGCCUGCUCCAUCUUCAGGACCAGCAUGGGACAGGGAUGCAGAGAGGAUGAUUUCAGGGGUGAUGUUCUCUUCACUGAGUGAGAAGGCACUGCCAACCGGGUCCUUUUCUCCAGGAGGAAAAAGCAUCUAUGCCAAUUAGUGAGUGAUCUCCUCUAGCAGGUUUCGUGUCCUGUUUAAACUCAUCUGUCCUCUGAGCAGACCAAUCUCUCCCUGACCAGUUUCUGUCUCUCAGGAGAUAGAUAGAUACAUACAUGGCUUCCAGGUUGGGUUUCACUUAGGAGAAAUAUGUUAUUUAAUGACUUUUUAAAAAAUACUCCAAAUCAUAGGGUUUUUUUUAAUGUCCAGAUAAACUACAUGAUGAAUUGCUCCAGAAAGUUGCCAGCAGCAGGAAACAAGAUUCUAUCCUAUAUAUACUUUUUUUUGUUUGACUUUAUUAUCCUGUAUCAGUCCUUUAGAUUUCCUUGAAAAAUCUGUUUUGAAAUAUAUGUUUACAUGAGUUCCCUCAGCAGGAACUCAGACCAACAACUGAUUUGAUCAAAUCAGUUUUAAAACUUGGCAUAUUGAGCAAUUGGCCUUGUUAAUCUUUUGUUU